GAGGAAUAUUGGUCAAUGGACGGAAGUCUGAACCAGCCAAGUAGCGUGCAGGAUGACGGCCCUCCGGGUUGUAAACUGCUUUAGUCCGGGAAUAACGACGGGGACGUGUCCCCGGAAAGAAUGUACCGAAAGAAUAAGGACCGGCUAAUUCCGUGCCAGCAGCCGCGGUAAUACGGAAGGUCCAGGCGUUAUCCGGAUUUAUUGGGUUUAAAGGGAGCGUAGGCGGACUGUUAAGUCAGCGGUUAAAGAGUGUGGCUCAACCAUACGAUGCCGUUGAAACUGGUGGUCUUGAGUGCACACAGGGAUGCUGGAACUCGUGGUGUAGCGGUGAAAUGCUUAGAUAUCACGAUGAACUCCGAUCGCGAAGGCAGGUGUCCGGGGUGUAACUGACGCUGAGGCUCGAAAGUGUGGGUAUCAAACAGGAUUAGAUACCCUGGUAGUCCACACAGUAAACGAUGAAUACUCGCAGUUUGCGAUACAAUGUAAGCUGCCAAGCGAAAGCAUUAAGUAUUCCACCUGGGGAGUACGCCGGCAACGGUG
rnacentral:rRNA from 1 species